GAUCUCGUAGCUCAGUUGGCAGAGCAUUGGACUAGUAUCCCAAAGGUCGCGGGUUUGAUUCCCACCGUGGUCA
rnacentral:tRNA from 1 species